UACUAGCGGUCCAAGUCGCAGCCAUUUUUAUUGGGUCUAAAACAUCCGUAGCUUGCUUGAUAAGUUUCUUGUGAAAUUCUAUGUCUCAAACAUAGACCGUGCAAGAAGUACUGUCAAGCUAGAGACUGGUAGACGUAAGAAGUACGUUCGGAGUAGCGGUAAAAUGUGUUAAUCCCGAACGGACUCACGAUAGCGAAGGCAUCUUACGAGGACAGAUCUGACAGUAAGGGAUGAAGGCUAGGGGCGCAAAACGGAUUAGAUACCCUCGUA
rnacentral:rRNA from 1 species